rnacentral:rRNA from 1 species
AACGUAGGUGGCAAGCGUUGUCCGGAAUUACUGGGUGUAAAGGGAGCGCAGGCGGGUCUGCAAGUUGGAAGUGAAACCCAUGGGCUCAACCCAUGAACUGCUUUCAAAACUGCGGAUCUUGAGUGGUGUAGAGGUAGGCGGAAUUCCCGGUGUAGCGGUGGAAUGCGUAGAUAUCGGGAGGAACACCAGUGGCGAAGGCGGCCUACUGGGCACUAACUGACGCUGAGGCUCGAAAGCAUGGGUAGCAAACAGG